CUCGUAGGUGGCUAACUAAGUCAGACGUGAAAUCCCCAGGCUUAACCUGGGAACUGCGUCUGAUACUGGAUGGCUUGAAUUCGGGAGAGGGAUGCAGAAUUCCAGGUGUAGCGGUGAGAUGCGUAGAUAUCUGGAGGAAUACCGGUGGCGAAGGCGGCAUCCUGGACCGAGAUUGACACUGAUGAGCGAAAGCGAGGGAGCAAAC
rnacentral:rRNA from 1 species